CUUGCUGGGUGGAUCAGUGGCGAACGGGUGAGUAACACGUGAGCAACGUGCCCCAGACUCUGGGAUAACAGUUGGAAACAGCUGCUAAUACCGGAUACGAGACGUGGCCGCAUGGUCAACGUUUGGAAAGAUUUUUCGGUCUGGGAUCGGCUCGCGGCCUAUCAGCUUGUUGGUGAGGUAAUGGCUCACCAAGGCGUCGACGGGUAGCCGGCCUGAGAGGGUGACCGGCCACACUGGGACUGAGACACGGCCCAGACUCCUACGGGAGGCAGCAGUGGGGAAUAUUGCACAAUGGGCGAAAGCCUGAUGCAGCAACGCCGCGUGAGGGAUGACGGCCUUCGGGUUGUAAACCUCUUUUAGCAGGGAAGAAGCGAGAGUGACGGUACCUGCAGAAAAAGCGCCGGCUAACUACGUGCCAGCAGCCGCGGUAAUACGUAGGGCGCAAGCGUUAUCCGGAAUUAUUGGGCGUAAAGAGCUCGUAGGCGGUUUGUCGCGUCUGCUGUGAAAUCCCGAGGCUCAACCUCGGGCCUGCAGUGGGUACGGGCAGACUAGAGUGCGGUAGGGGAGAUUGGAAUUCCUGGUGUAGCGGUGGAAUGCGCAGAUAUCAGGAGGAACACCGAUGGCGAAGGCAGAUCUCUGGGCCGUAACUGACGCUGAGGAGCGAAAGGGUGGGGAGCAAACAGGCUWAGAUACCCUGGUAGUCCACCCCGUAAACGUUGGGAACUAGUUGUGGGGACCAUUCCACGGUUUCCGUGACGCAGCUAACGCAUUAAGUUCCCCGCCUGGGGAGUACGGCCGCAAGGCUAAAACUCAAAGGAAUUGACGGGGACCCGCACAAGCGGCGGAGCAUGCGGAUUAAUUCGAUGCAACGCGAAGAACCUUACCAAGGCUUGACAUACACGAGAACGCCGUAGAAAUACGGAACUCUUUGGACACUCGUGAACAGGUGGUGCAUGGUUGUCGUCAGCUCGUGUCGUGAGAUGUUGGGUUAAGUCCCGCAACGAGCGCAACCCUCGUUCUAUGUUGCCAGCACGUAAUGGUGGGAACUCAUGGGAUACUGCCGGGGUCAACUCGGAGGAAGGUGGGGAUGACGUCAAAUCAUCAUGCCCCUUAUGUC
rnacentral:rRNA from 1 species